AGAACAUUGGAAUAUCUCUCUGUAUAAAUCUGUUCAGUGAAUUUGUUCUCCAUUGAUGGUAGUCUGUAUUUAAUAUUCAGAGAAAGGGCCAAGAAACCUUGAAUUUUCUGGUCAUGGAUUAAUUUUCCCUUGAGCAAUUAAAAAUGUUAACAACUGUUUUGGUUCUGAUUGCAAUUACUUACCUCAGUCCAAGAUGAGCUGGGACAAUUUGCAUGACUGCACCUUCACAGUGACGACUGAAUGCAAAGGAGUGUUUUCUGUGUGAGAACUGCACAUGGGCUUGAGAUGACAUCUGGGUUAGAUGAUACAGCCUUCUUCAGAAACUUCUGCUGAGUGCUCCUAGAUGGAUAAGCUGUCCAACUCUUCUGCAGGGAAGCCUGCAAGUAGCGUUUACACACACCAGCUUCAAGUGCUAAGACAGGAGGGUGGAUGAAUGGGAAGAGAGAGGGACUUCAGUCAUUGACUGAUUGUUGUUUGGGGAUGGUAAUGCCAAGUCACACGAUUAAGUUUGCUAAGGGAAAAUAAGUUAGAUCUUUCCCUCCCCUUCCUCUCCCCUUCCUUUUCUCUUCAAUUUGUCUUUUAGAAUAAAAUUUGGUAAAUUUUAACAUUAAAAUUUUGAAAUAGAAAAUGAGAAAAUAUAUUUAAAUGCAUUUGUUUCCUACAAAAUAUUUCUUACUGGAAACAUUAACUAAACUUCAUUAGUUUUGUGGUUAAUUUUGGCCAAUUUGGGAUAUCAUUUUUCAGUGAAUAAAAUAUUUUACUAAAUAAUAUUCAUCCUGUCCUGCAUAAUUUCAUUUACUUUUCCUUAUAAUCUGAAUUUGCAGUGGAAGGGUUUAUAAUGAGUGAUAUUAAAUUAGCUCAAGAAUUAGUAAAGAAAAAUGUUACCUUGAGAGACAGAAGCUAAACCCAACACAAGCUCCAUAACGUGCAUAAUUAAUUUAAUGUGCAUAAUUCCAGUUUUAUGUCUAGAUAUUAUUUGUUGUAAAAGCAUGCUACUUUUAAUCUCUGGUUUGAAGGGAAUAAUUUGCACAUUAGUUGAAUUUUGUCUGUUCAUGUUAAACCAUCAAUCACAAAGUAUUUAUAUGAAGCUAGGCUUUCUCAGGCUUGAACAGUUUCUUGGGACAUGAAAUUUCAGUGUAUUUGUUCUGUGUUGCUCUGAAGACUGCAGUGCUUCAUAUGGUAAAAAAUUUGUUGUAUUCACCGUAACUUAAUGAUUUUACAAUAAAAGGAAUAAUGAUUGUCUUUUUCA